GACGUAGGGGGCAAGCGUUGUCCGGAAUUACUGGGCGUAAAGGGCGUGUAGGCGGUUUCACACGUAGCGGUUUUCAGCCGCCGGCUCACCCGGCGGAGGGCGGCUAAACGGUGGAACUUGAGGGCAGGAGAGGUGCACGGAAUUCCUGGUGGAGCGGUGAAAUGCGUAGAGAUCAGGAAGAACACCAGUGGCGAAGGCGGUGCACUGGCCUGGCCCUGACGCUGAGGCGCGACAGCGUGGGGAGCGAACGGG
rnacentral:rRNA from 1 species